AGUUUACUUCAUUUAUUAGCAAUACCAUGGUCUCUAUAAUGCUUAUUAUGAUUUAGAAUCAAUACAGAGCCACCAAGGCAUACAUUCCAUCCCAAAUAUUUUUUCUUGUUCACUCGCAAGUCCAAUUUCUGCAUUUCAAGUAUCAAGUCACUUAAUCAACGGAACUGAUUUUCCUCCUCUCGUACUGUCCGAGUGGUCAAAACUCUGUUCAACCCAGCAACAAGCUCCGUCGAUUUAACAAGAUAAUGGAAUGUAAAACACAGGAAUUUGGCAAGUAAGAAUAUUUGGAAUGGAAUGUAUGCCUUGGUGGCUCUGUAUUGCUAGUAAAUGUAAUAAACUCGUUUUGGUCCAAACUUGUCCAAGCAGCCGCAACCCGGCCAAACGGCCCAUUUCGCUUUAUUUACUCCCUGCCGAAAAUGACGAAAAAUAAAAAUGAGAGAGACGAGUUUGUCUGGAGGCAUUAGUUCCGUGGAAGAAACUUGCCGGGAGAUAAACGUGAAAUUACAGGUAAAGUGGGGACAAACGUGAGUAAAGAAGCGAGCAAACCCUGAAAAAUAGCUACCAUCCAAGAAAAGACUCACUUCUGGAUACGUUAUGAUUUUAUGUUACCAAUCCGCAAUGAAUAUUAAAGAUGGAAUUAAAACUUAGAAAAACGUUAGGCAAAACCUGAAGGAUUAGUGCUCAUAGUGAUGCACGUGGAAUGAAAUCCUAUUCGAAUUGGGCAAUGAGCACCAUCAUGAACACUCCCGCCAACAAAGCCAAGAUCUCCCAGAUGGAUUGCUUGAGAGUGGCGCCUUCCAGGAGUUCGGGAAUCACAGACACGGUGGCGAUGUAAAUAAAUCCACCGGCCGUGAAGGGCAAGAUGUAAGCUGUGAUGGCGUCAUCCACGCCCUCGGCUAACAACGAGCACACGCAGCCGGCAAAGGCACCCACAGCCGUUAACAAUUGAAGACAUUUGGCUUUGAAGGGUUUGACGCCUAAUUUAGACAAGAAAUAUAAAGUUACAAGUAUAUUUUCUACUUUGGGCGCGAUCAAAAUUCCAGUUUCUUACCUGACUGAAUGAGAAUUGCGUAGUCUCCGAUCUCGUGGGGAAUUUCGUGGAAGAGAAUUGUGAAGGUGGUCACCCAACCAAUGGACCUUCCAGCCAAGAAAGAGGCGCCUAUAGCCAAGCCAUCAGUAAAAUUGUGAAAGAA